UCACUGACACACCACCUCCAUCGCAGCCAAACCACCUCCAUCUAAAACCCUCUACCAAUGAAGCAUCUAAAAUCCACGAAACUUUAUAGGGGUUUGAGACGAAGGCACUGGAGAUAAUCGGUUGUUGAGAUCCGUUUACCCAGAUCUGAGUUUAAAAACCCUAAUUUUUUGGAUUCUGUACUUAUGUGAGUUACCAGACUACCCCAAUCUCAACUUACGGCCCAUCUGUAAGUGAUAUGAGUUCGGUGCCCGGUUUCGGCGCCGGUGCUAGUGCGGUGGCGGCCACGAAGACUAAGAUUGUUAAAAGAGGUGGGGGAGGGGGUUUACGGAUUUGGGGUUGGAAGAGGCGAAAUAUUUGGUGGAGAAAGUGUCGAUUGUGGUGAAGAAAGGGAUUACGAAAGAUGAAGCGAAAGCGAUUAUGGCGAAGUUUAUGGAUUUAGAUGGUACUGUGUCGUUGGAAUGAGUUUAAAUCUAGUAUGCUAAUGCCAUAAUUAAUAAUAUUUUUGGAAUCACAAGUGAAAUGAUUUUAGACUGUCAAUCUUAUUUUAUUGUUUUUUGUUUGUUUGAGGAUUUGAUUCUGAAGCUCGAAGAGACUGGGUAG
rnacentral:lncRNA from 1 species